rnacentral:lncRNA from 1 species
GAUCUCUGGGCUCAGGAAUAAGGGAAGGGAGAGCCAGAGUGAAAGAAUGCAGCUUAUCAGCCCAGACAGUGACCCAGACCCAGAAAUAUUGGCAGUGCCCUCUCCAAAAUCUUGUAAGAUCAUGAGACUUUACGAGAAGCGUGAAAAGGAAAGGAAGAGAAGGUAGGGGUUUUCCUGUUGGGGGAAAAAGGGGGCAGGGCUUAGUUCCAGCAACUGUGCUAUCUGAGGAUGAUGGCGAUUAGCUGAGUUCCGACCUGGUUUGUUUGUUUGAACAAUAAAUCUGAAAUAAUUGACUGCCGGAGUGGUCUCGCAUUUGUGGGAGAGACCCAGGCCAUUACAGUUGGGCAGUGAAUGACCCCUGUCUGAAACCAUAGAAAACUACUAUCAGUGCAAACAAUGAUAAGCUUAAUGGACCAAUCGCCUGACUCAGUAUUAGGCAGCUUCUUAUGUCUCAGAUCUGGGACUUUCACAUAAUCUGCUACCUGAUCCCAGAACUUGUUGCAUGUGAAGCAUGUGCUCAGCAGCCCUGAUAUGAUAGAGGCAUAGUGCAGAGAAAGCACAAGAGUAAAGAAAGAGCCAAUAGAAAAUGCAGGGGACUGAAACAUUUGGCAUUGCAAAUGUGGAUUUGGUCUUCAGAACAUGCCUAGAUGGAAGUUUUGAAGAGAGGCUAAGUGUACACAUCUCUCUCCUGCAACCUGUGUAGGCUGGCAUCACCAGUCCAUGUGAGAGGUUUCUCUCCCACCUCUAUCUGCAGCACAGAUUGAAGGGGUAGAGGAUCCUCACUGGCAAUCUGCAUUGAGUAGAGCAGCUACGUAACGGCUCAAAAGGAAGUAUGUCACAGUUUGCAGAGGCAAGUUUUGGUGCUUCACAGACAGAGUUUGGAAUAGAAGACUGAAAUAGAAAGCUGUCAUACAGCAUUUAAUAUUUUAACAUGGAAAGGCUGGAAUAUGCCUGAUAAAAUAGCAACAACAACAAAAACAUGGUAGUAUGCUGUUCAAGGGGUGGGGAAGCAUAUCUAAAGUUGGGCAUAUCUAAAGUUGCACAUUGGAUCUCAGCCAUUUUCUUUAUUAAAUUGUUGUUAUGGAAUAUUAAAGUUCACUGAGAAAUUUCUGCACUCAGCUUAUACCUGACCUUUCCCUUUGUCCUAAGCUAUGUGUUAAUUAUUGGAUUGUCCUUUACUUAAUAAAGGACUUCAUCCUAUCUACUCAAAACAUAUCCAGAAUCCUCUUUUAGGGUCUAGGAACCUAGAUAAGAAGACUGCUAACUGCAAGGCAAUAUAGGAUAUUAAAUUUCAUUGGUGCAUUCAUCCCUCUGCCCUUAAUAUAUAUUUUUUGCUUUAGGAUAUUAGAUAUUGUUGGUCAUUGAGAUAUAGCUGUACUUUUUAUUAUUGACUCCAGUUUUAUUUAAAUCCUAAUCUCUUAAAUCCCAGCCUCAUGGGUGCACGACAUGAAGCUCCACCUUAGCCUUCGACAACCUGGUGCCUUCAAGAUGGGACUGAUGUGAUUUGCAGUCCAGAACAUCUGCAUGGCACUGAGCUGGCUAAUGAAGGCUGUUCUGCUUUGUGCACCUGACUCACCAAAGUCAGAAGGGCAUAAUAUGGCGUUUUUGAAUUUACGUGGGGAUACCCACAUGAAAUACAAAGGUCCAUAAACUAAAACAAAUUUGGGGGGAAAUCCUAUGUGAAUUAAAUAAUCUGAUGAUUAGAGCUUACUCACUGAUAUUUUGCAGGUUUGUUAUUGUUGCUGUGUUAACUAUGCCACAAGUAGACAAUGAAAUUAUGAAGUGUCAUAGACUCUACAACCUUUCUCUGGAAAAGGACACCCUGUGUCUAAAUUCAAGCAGCUUUCUCUUAUUGUCAUUUCUGAUCAGCUUCUUGAGAGCCUCUGUAUUCUGCAAGAAUCAACAGUAAAAUGUUAAGUGUUCAGUCAUUAAAAAAUCAUUUGAUAUUCAUUGAAACACUAUUAAUCAUCACACAUUCAUUUGGCAUUCAUGGGGCUGUCACACGGACUUCUCUAGGAGUUCAGUUAUAAUAUGCAUUAGCUAAUGAGCAUAUAAAGCAUUCCUGAAUCAACAUAGCAGCACAACAUUUUUCUUAUUUGCAUUAUUCAUGUUCGGUAGAUUUUAGGGUUGCAAUAGCUGAGGCAUACUUUUGGCUUUUCUGGGGGGGAAAUUGAGGCAGCUGCUAUCAAUAUAUUUACUUAUGAGAGCCCAACGAUUUGUGUGUUAGCUAACAGCUGCCCUGCAUGCCUGGAACUUUGCCAUUUCAAUGUGUUUCUGUUGUCAGAAUUGAAGCAGAAUGUACAAUGCAGUAUAGGUCUUUAGAUCCAUGAGUGCCUCUUUGUGGGCAGUCUGCUGUACAUCAUCAAGCUACUGAUGCGAUUUGCUUCUAAGUAAGAGGCACUUGCUUUCACAGUGUUAAAGAAAUCUUUCAAUAUUUAUGAAUGUAGCAAUCUGGUUUAAUUGUGAAGAAGAAUGCUUGUGUUUGCCCCCAGUUAUAAGAAGCCUGAUGUCCUUCGUUAUGAAAAGCACAUUCUGGAUUCAGGCACAUGACCCUUCCUGCUUGGAUGUAUCAACCGAAUGUUUAGUGGUGACCUUUAGAAGCUGCCAUUAAUCCUUCAUCUAUGAAUUGGGGAGGGGGGAUAAAGGCUAUUGUGCUUUUGCUAACAUUUUCUGUAACAUUUUAUUUUCUCCUCUUUGUCUCAUAGUGUGGCCGUGUUCCAGGAAAGUGUGCAAGUAUGGGUGUUUCCAGACUGUCAAUAUUUGGGGGUGGAAUUCAGACGUAUACCAGCAAAGUCAGGUUCCAUAAUUAAAAGUUGAUUUAGAGCUCCUGCACAACAGAACUACUUCCCUGCACCCCCUCCCCACAACCCUGUCCAGGCAAAAAUAAUUCCACACUUCUUGCAGUAAGGAAAGUGAUAAGUAAACCCCCUGGAGAGUAUAGGAUAAUAUUUUCUUAACACAACAUCUCUGAACCUCCCUGCC